UAUUCUCUUCUUCCUCCUCCCAAAACCCUUUUCUAUUCUCUCUUUCAACACAAGAGUUUGACAGAUAAAGUCAAUUUUUUCCAGUUUCCUUCGAAGUUUUCACGGUAGAGACCGAAAGAAACAUAGUCGGUGAUUUUCCGGUAAUUGGCCGAGCUUCAUUGCACGGUAGGCCUCAACCUACUAAGUGGAGACUAAGGAAUCUCAUGAUGGUGACGGAUCUCCGACGGUGUAGAUCGACGCAGUUAAGCUUUUUAACUGGAUUCGUAGGUGGGUGAUUGGGGAUUUCACCUGUAUGCAUCUUGAAAGAAGCGGAUUUGAAGGUGAAAGCAUACUUUAUUGGUGAACAGAGAAAGAGCUGUUAGUUACUUGAAUUCUUUGGGAAGUGAAAAGUGGAUGACAUGUAACAAUAUCUCAUCAUAUUUGUUAAUGACAACAUUGCAUUGGAAGAAAUAGAACUUCAGUUUUGAAGUAAUUUUCUGCAACAAAAUUUUUGUUCAACAUUAUUUCAAUCUCAUUGGUUGAUUAUCUCAAUGCUUCACAAUGCAAAUUGGAGUUGCAAGCAUAUAAGCAUGAUGUCUCAGGUUGAAGAAUCAUGAAUUCAUGAUGAUGUGGAAGUUGGCAUGUAAAGGUCACCAUCCUCGAAAAGAACAUGUGGAUGGUGUUUCCAUGGUACAUGUAGGACAUGAUUUACUGUGGUAAUGUUAUGUUUAUGAUGCGUUUAAUUUUUGAGCUGACAUAGGACUCAGACAAUGUGAUAUAAUUCAUGCCCAGAGGUGAAGAUUAAGUCGUUCACCACGUAAGGGAUGGGUUGUAUGUGUCGUUGAACAUGCCCGUGUUCGAGAUAUAGGAUGUGAAUUUGUGGUUUGAGUAUGACACUUUGAUAAUAGAAGGGAAAUGGGAGAAUGAGCAUUAUAUUGCUGGGAUACGUGUACCAGAGGGCUUCCACAAGGAUCAUCAUAUGAUCAAGAGGGAGAUGUUGGAUGGAGGGCUUCCUAUGAAAACAACGGUUCGUUCCGUGUAAAUCGCUACAUGAUUAACACAUACAACUGCUAGCUAUAGAUAUUAUAAUGUUAGUUCUAAAGCUAAGAAACAAUGAAUCAGUGACUUUAGUAGCUAUAGGUAGAUAUUAAAUGAAUGUGGCUAUCAACUCAUAUUGUGAUUUGAUAAGAGUUAUUAGGGUCCUGGUGAACCUAACCAUAAUAAAAAGGGUUAUUGGAUUAUUGG
rnacentral:lncRNA from 1 species